UAGUAGUCUCCCAAGACCUCGGUCCUGA
rnacentral:piRNA from 1 species